rnacentral:rRNA from 1 species
AAACUUUCAACAAUGGAUCUCUUGGCUCUGGUAUCGAUGAAGAACGCAGCAAAACGCGAUAGGUAAUGUGAAUUGCAGAACUCAGUGAGACAUUGAAUUUUUGAACGCACAUUGCGCCUUUUAGUAUUCUAGGAGGCAUGCCUGUACGAGCGUG